UACAGAGGUCUCAAGCGUUGUUCGGAUUCAUUGGGCGUAAAGGGUGCGUAGGCGGCGCGGUAAGUCGGGUGUGAAAUCUUGGAGCUUAACUCCGAAACUGCAUUCGAUACUGCCGUGCUUGAGGACUGGAGAGGAGACUGGAAUUUACGGUGUAGCGGUGAAAUGCGUAGAUAUCGUGAGGAAGACCAGUGGCGAAGGCGGGUCUCUGGACAGUUCCUGACACUGAGGCACGAAGGCCAGGGGAGCAAACGGG
rnacentral:rRNA from 1 species